rnacentral:rRNA from 1 species
UGUAAGCGUAUACCAAAGUUGUUGCAGUUAAAACGCUCGUAGUCGGAAUUUGGCAGUUCCGGAUGUGUGUACGUCGUGUGCGCACUUCGCGGGGAUUGCUUUUGUGGUCUUGCGUAGGAUGAGGCACUUUUAUUAGUGAACGUCCUCACGCAACCACUUUUUACUGUGAGAAAAUCAGAGUGCUCAAAGCAGGCAUUUGCCGUGAAUGUAUUAGCAUGGAAUAAUAGAAUAGGACUUGGUUCUAUUUUGUUGGUUUGUUGGGACUGAGUAAUGAUUAAGAGGGACAGUUGGGGGCAUUUGUAUUUCGGUGCUAGAGGUGAAAUCCUUAGAUUACCGAAAGACAAACUGCUGCGAAAGCGUCUGCCAAGGAUGUUUUCAUUGA